rnacentral:rRNA from 1 species
ACUCAAAUGAAUUGACGGGGACUCGCACAAGCGGUGGAUCAUGUGGCUUAAUUCGAUGCUAAGCGAAAAACCUUACCAGGGCUAGAAACCAAGCUGCACGCCUCCAGAAACGGAGGAAGCCUUCGAGGGUGCUUGGCAGGUGAUGCAUGGUUGUCGUCAGUUCGUGGCUUGAGCUGUUCCCUUCAGUGGGGUAACGAACGCAACCCUCGUUGUCUGUUAUAUAUGUCAGGCGAGACUGCCCCCUCACGGGGGAGGAAGGUGGGGAUGACGCCAAAUCAGCAUGUCCCUUGAUGCCCUGGGCUGCACACGUGAUACAAUGGCCGGUACAGAAGGAAGCAAUACCGUAAGGUGGAGCAAAUCCCAAAAACCGGCCCCAGUACGGAUAGAGGUCUGCAACGACCUCUUGAAGCCGGAAUCGCUAGUAAUCGUGGGUCAGCACACCACGGUGAAUACGUUCUCGAGUCUUGUACACACCGCCCGU